UCUCUUCUCUCUCUCUUUCUCUCCCUUUUUUAUUCAUCUAUAUACAUAUAUUAUUCUUCACUGACUUCGCUCUUACAAAACCCUCUUCUUUUACUCUCUUUCUCUCUGUCUCUUCACUUUCUUUCUCAUCUCCUGGUUUCACCAUAUAAAAUGAUCGUACCCAACAAGAAGAAGAAAAAGAACAGGAGAUUACGUUGGCUCCAGAGAGCAACUGCUAUAUACUGUUUCUAGAGAUCUUUUCUUCAUUCUAAUGAAGCAUUCAGGUGAAGAAUUCACUGGACCAAACAUCUUUGGUGGCGUACAUGGGAAAGCCAGGCAUUUCUCGUCCCUUCUUGUUCUUCUUGUUCUUGAUCUUUUUUUUUUCUGGUUUUUAAUGAGGGAUGAAUUGAGAUAGUUAAUUACAAGAAAUAUCUGUAAACUGUUUGUUAGAAUUUUCAAGGGAGAUUCAUAGCAAUGGAAAGAAGGUUUGACUGCUGGUUUCCCAGGUCACUCCUUGCACCUUAUUUUCUACUAUUUUCUUUCUUUAUUAUUUUUUUUUCAAAUCUGGUUCAUAUCCUUCACCUUUAUCAAGUACAUGUAAUGAUCUUUAUUUUGCAUAGACUAGGCUCCACGUCGGUUGUGGAUGUAUGUGUGUAGGUUCAUAAACGUUGCCAAAGCUCCUCCCAGUUAGUAAUUACAUGGGUAUAAGUGUUGGUGCAGUAGGUCUUGUAUUUCCUUGUAUUUCCUUGUGUACGUGUGUUCUCAAAAGAAAAAAGUAAAUUCUGAUGUGUGAGCCUUGAUUCUUGAUGUGGCUCAAUAAUUUAAUAAGGUCCGCAGGUUAGUGGGCGUGUCCAUUGAGGCUAAGCUUUCGGGCUUCCACAUCGGUUAUGGAUGUGUGUGCGUGUAGGUUUAUAAGCGUUGCCAAAGCUUUUCCUAGUCAGCAAUUGUCUGGGUGUAAGUGUUGGUACAGUAAGUCUUAUGUUUCCUAUGCAUGUAUUCUCGAAAGAAAAAAGAAAAAUUAUUGGCCUUUUUAUAUAAUAAUAAUAAAGGUUUAAUUUUAAAUCUUUUAAAAUCAAUAAUAUAAAGAAUAAAAUUAUGUUAAGAGAGAAAAAUAAAUUAAGAUCAUACCCAUAAUUUAUAUAUGUAAGGUUGGUUAUAAUUAUU
rnacentral:misc_RNA from 1 species